rnacentral:tRNA from 1 species
UGGUUCAAGGUCCCUCUAUCCCCA